AACGCUGUAGCAUUUACAACUAAUUGAUCACAAGCAGUUACAGAUCUCUUUGUUCCUUCUCCACUUCCACUGCUUCACU
ensembl:misc_RNA Y_RNA Y RNA